CCUACGGGAGGCAGCAGUGGGGAAUAUUGCACAAUGGGCGCAAGCCUGAUGCAGCAACGCCGCGUGAGGGACGACGGCCUUCGGGUUGUAAACCUCUUUUAGUAGGGAAGAAGCGAAAGUGACGGUACCUGCAGAAAAAGCACCGGCUAACUACGUGCCAGCAGCCGCGGUAAUACGUAGGGUGCAAGCGUUAUCCGGAAUUAUUGGGCGUAAAGAGCUCGUAGGCGGUUUGUCGCGUCUGCUGUGAAAACCUGGAGGCUCAACCUCCAGCCUGCAGUGGGUACGGGCAAACUAGAGUGCGGUAGGGGAGAUUGGAAUUCCUGGUGUAGCGGUGGAAUGCGCAGAUAUCAGGAGGAACACCGAUGGCGAAGGCAGAUCUCUGGGCCGUAACUGACGCUGAGGAGCGAAAGCAUGGGGAGCGAACAGGAUUAGAUACCCUGGUAGUCCAUGCCGUAAACGUUGGGCGCUAGAUGUGGGGACCAUUCCACGGUUUCCGUGUCGCNGCUACGCAUAGCGCCCGCCGCGGAGUACGGCGCGAGACGAACACGAAGAAGUAGACGCGNGAGACGUGCGACGACGACGACGAGGGAGAGG
rnacentral:rRNA from 1 species